GAGGGAGUCCCUCCCUCUAAAACCACUCUGUGUGGGGAAGAUGAGAGCCAGAGCAAAGGUCAGAGGAUCCAUCAGAGACUGAAACCAGAACCAGAACCAGAACCCAGCUGUGUGCCCUUGAAGAGCGACAGGUCAAAGGAUGAGAACAUUGACUUUAAGUCUUCUGGGUCUCCACCAUCAGAGAAAGUGGACCAGCAGAGCUCAGAGGUUCCCAGUGGUUCAUCUGUCCAGCAGCAUCAAA